rnacentral:rRNA from 1 species
UACGAAGGGGGCUAGCGUUGCUCGGAAUCACUGGGCGUAAAGGGCGCGUAGGCGGGAAUGUAAGUCGGGCGUGAAAUCCCCAGGCUCAACCUGGGAACUGCACUCGAAACUGCGUUUCUUGAGUAUCGGAGAGGAAAGCGGAAUUCCUGGUGUAGAGGUGAAAUUCGUAGAUAUCAGGAGGAACACCAGUGGCGAAGGCGGCUUUCUGGACGGUAACUGACGCUGAGGCGCGAAAGCGUGGGGAGCAAACAGG